ACAGUUAUCAGUAAAAAUAAAAACAAAUGAAAAAUUAUAUGGAAUGAAAGAUUUUCUCUUCAUUCAUUUUCCAUUGGAAUUGGAAAUUUAAAUAUUUUUUCGGCAAGUGUUGAAUUUUGACUUACACAAUGUAGGCACAUAAAUGAUUUGCAAUCACGUACUACAUACGUGAACUCGAAGAGUUUUCUCAGCUUAUGGAGAAGCUAAAGGUUCCAGAAAUUUCAUCAACUUAUCAGAGAUAAUUGGUUUCGGUAUAGCUGGGUAAUGAUAGAUCAAACUUAGAUUAAGAAAGCAACGUUGAUUCCUCAGUUCGAAAAAAUGCCUCUGCAAACAAAGAUGGCGAAUUAUAAUAUGGAGCAGUGUUGUGAAGAAAUAAACGUGUAUUUAGAAGUUCCUGUUUCUAGACUACUUUUAGAGAAUAAAUAUCAGAUAUUGAUAAACUAUGAAAAGUGGGAAUUCAGACGUAGAAAAUACUCUCAUUUAGAAACAUCGUCAUUAUAAUGAAUUUGCGUUGAAAUCUUCGCACUUGGAAAUAUCUGCCCUUAAUCAGAAAUAGAAUGAAGCGAAUAUGAAACCUAAUUUGAGAAAAACUAAUAUGUUCAAGUUCGACACACCGAACUACUGAAAGUGUUACAAUAAAAUAUCAUAAUUUCACCAACAACAACACUGAUAUUUAUGUGGAAGAAGAAUACUAUCGAGAGUGUCAGAAACUGAGGCCUACUUUCGAGAAUCGUUGACUAGCAGUAUCAACCGAAGAUUUUCAACUUUUGAUUUCUGGGACACGAUCGACUCGCGCCUAUGAAUUUAGUUGGAUUAUACUAAAAAGAGAUCGUUGAACAUGAUGCACGAAACCGAGCAACGAUGAAAGUGAAUUACAGAACAACGUAUGAGAAGUUUCCAUCGAUUCAAAACAGCUUCUGAUCAAUUGUAUUAUAUUCGAAAUUCUAGGCUCGCAAUAUUACGAAUGAAAUUUGAAACCAUUCAUACGGAAUUUCAGAAAGUAAAUUGUAAAAUGAAAAAAGUAUUGACAAAAUAUAUAUUUGGAUAUCUGAAAAGUGAAGAUUAUGAUCCGUAAAUUUUCUGUAACUGUAUCCUUUUUUUUUUUUUUUUUUUUUCUAAAGAGCCUGUGAUGAAAGAAAAACAUUUUUUAUUUCUUGAAACACAAAUUUUCGAAAACUUUUGCCCUCGCUGCGCUCGGGCUUGUAUUCUUUUUUUUCGGAAUCAAGGUGGAAAUUUCUAUUAGAAAAAUUAUCAAAUUUUCAGUCUACACCACCCCCCCUCCCUCAAAAACCUAAAAAUAGCUUCUGCUUUAGAAUGGGAUCCAACAUGAUAUCUGUCAUGGGUUCGCAUCGGCUCUCGACAGUCUUUUUUUUUUUUUUUUUUCUAAGGAAGUAUUGUUUGAUAUUGAAAAGUUAUGGCUACUGCCAUAUACAGUGAAAUUUUUCUAUUUUAUGCUCUGCUAGUACUUAUGUAUACCUAAAAGUAUGUUUUUCUGUUUAUUUUUAUGUUCUUUCAAUUCAAAAUUUCAUUGAAAGUAUCAAGACGUAUCACGUUAUAAAUUUUGAAAUUUUCUAAUAAAGUAUUUUGUGUUUUUUAGAUAAAUUGAUUUUUUUUU